UACGUAGGGUGCAAGCGUUAAUCGGAAUUACUGGGCGUAAAGCGUGCGCAGGCGGUUUUGUAAGUCUGACGUGAAAUCCCCGGGCUCAACCUGGGAAUUGCGUUGGAGACUGCAAGGCUAGAAUCUGGCAGAGGGGGGGUAGAAUUCCACGUGUAGCAGUGAAAUGCGUAGAGAUGUGGAGGAACACCGAUGGCGAAGGCAGCCCCCUGGGUCAAGAUUGACGCUCAUGCACGAAAGCGUGGGGAGGCAAACAAGG
rnacentral:rRNA from 1 species